rnacentral:rRNA from 1 species
UUAAUUGAAGAGUUUGAUCAUGGCUCAGAUUGAACGCUGGCGGCAGGCCUAACACAUGCAAGUCGAGCGGCAGCACGAGGGAGUUUACUCCUGAGGUGGCGAGCGGCGGACGGGUGAGUAAUGCCUAGGGAUCUGCCCAGUCGAGGGGGAUAACAGUUGGAAACGACUGCUAAUACCGCAUACGCCCUACGGGGGAAAGAAGGGGACCUUCGGGCCUCCCGCGAUUGGAUGAACCUAGGUGGGAUUAGCUAGUUGGUGAGGUAAUGGCUCACCAAGGCGACGAUCCCUAGCUGUUCUGAGAGGAUGAUCAGCCACACUGGGACUGAGACACGGCCCAGACUCCUACGGGAGGCAGCAGUGGGGAAUAUUGCACAAUGGGGGAAACCCUGAUGCAGCCAUGCCGCGUGUGUGAAGAAGGCCUUCGGGUUGUAAAGCACUU